GAUGAAGAACGUAGCAAAAUGCGAUAAGUAAUGUGAAUUGCAGAAUUCAGUGAAUCAUCGAAUCUUUGAACGCACAUUGCGCCCGCCAGUAUUCUGGCGGGCAUGCCUGUUCGAGCGUCAUUUCAACCCUCAAGCACAGCUUGGUGUUGGGACUCGCGUUAAUUCGCGUUCCCCAAAUUGAUUGGCGGUCACGUCGAGCUUCCAUAGCGUAGUAGUAAAACCCUCGUUACUGGUAAUCGUCGCGGCCACGCCGUUAAACCCCAACUUCUGAACGUUGACCUCGGAUCAGGUAGGAAUACCCGCUGAACUUAAGCAUAUCAAUAAGCGGAGGA
rnacentral:misc_RNA from 1 species